CACCAUCCACAGGUUUGUCCAGGAAGUGCUCAAAUACUACUACAAGAGUGAUGCUGAGGUCCAGAAAGACUCUGAACUGCAGAAGUGGUUUGCAGACAUUGUUGAACAUGGAUUCCUUUCACAGGCAGACACAGGAAUUCCAUAGACCUUGACCACUGUGGCUAAAU